UGCAUAUUUAUUAUAAUGAUUUGGCCUUGUACGUAUGUUUCUUUUUUUUUAUCUACUAGUUAAUCACAUCCGAAAUGAAUGACAGACGGACAUAUAUACAAAACUUAAUGAAUAAUUGAAAUCAAGAUAUUUGCGUUAUAACGCAAAGGUUUGCGUUAUAUCGCAAAGGUUUGCGUUGUAACGCAAAGGUUUGCGUUAUAUCGCAAAGGUCUGCGUUAUAACGCAAACAUAGGAAGAAAAAUAAUAAAAAAAAAAAAUGCGUGGCGCUAAUACG
rnacentral:lncRNA from 1 species